AAAGGUUUAGAAGUGGCCGUGGACAAUGUGUUCCCUGGAGUAGAGCAUAGGGAAUGCAUGCGCCACCUUGCUGCAAAUUUCAUGAAGAAAUUCAAAGGAAAGGUGUAUACCGACAAUUUAUGGCCAUCAUCUUUGACUUGCAGUGUGAAGAAGCACAACUACCACUUGAGGCAGUUAUACAUGAAUCCCAAAGUGAAAGAAUACUUGGAAACACACCACUCCAAGUUAUGGGCCAGAAGCCAAUUCAGUGAACUGAGCAAAGUUGACUAUGUGCACAAUAAUCUAGCAGAGUCUUUCAACUCAACGAUCCGGAAA
rnacentral:rRNA from 1 species